GCAUUAAUGGGGUAGUGGUAACCUGGGUCGUUGCCAUUUCCGGAUUUUCGACCCGCCGGGGGUUCGAUUCCCUCUUAAUGCA